CCAUCUACCAAGUUUGGUAUCACACGGUGG
rnacentral:piRNA from 1 species